CAAAAUAGAGAAUAUAUGUCUCAGUUACUAGUAGCGGUCCUGCUAUGUUCGGCCGACACUGAUGAAAAGGAAGCACAAACAGUGUGCUUCACAUUCUGGUUGGCUGAAAGGGUGGAGGCUUGGAUCGGUGAGGUGGCACCCUCGCAGUCCACUUCUUUCUUUCUUAUCUCUCUGUCUCCACCACCCACGCACCCAUCUCUCUCUUCCUCUCUCGUCUGUGCUCUGCUAUCUCUCUCCCUACCACGAUUCCAGCCACAGCCGCUCAACUCAAGAAAAAAAGCCACGGCCGCCGCCACCGCGUUGGAGGGACAGGGCGCCGCCUCCGUUCCAGGUCGCUGCCGCCGCGCUGGAGGGCGCCAUGCCCCGUCGCCUCCGUUCCUCGCCGCGGCACCUUGCUCCGACCCACAGCGCGCCGCCAAUCGCCGUCGUCGACCCCUCUUGCUGCCGGAUCCGGCGACCUCAACCCCGGCCACCUCUAGAUCCUGUGCCCCCGCCCCGAGCUCGCAGGUGGAGAGGAGAAGCUCGGCGCUGCACACCGACGAAGAGGAGGAGGAUGAAGUUCCUGCUGCGGACGACAGCGUUCGUGGCGGUGGAACCGGCCGCCCUCGGCCCGUCCACCGUGGAUCCGGCCGGCAUCGGCCGUUCUCCACCGAUCUCCUCGAAGCGCCGCCGUCCAUCUCCAGUGCGCCAACUGGUCUGGGUUCGGGCUCCAGGUACCUCUCCUCUCCCUCUCUUUGUUCUCUCUCCCUCUCAGUUCUCUCGGUUGAUUGUGGAUGGAAUUCGGGAUUUGUUGAUUGUGGAUGGAUUUGUGUGUUGUGGAUAUAUUGCACUGUGGAUGUAUUUGUGUAUUGCCGCUGGUUCUGGUGCAGGCCGGCCGGGAGGCCGUGCUUUUUUGUUUUGUUUUGCAAAACCACAUCAGUGUCGGGUGUAAUAUGUGACCGCCAUUGAUGAUGGCAUCAUCAGUAACGACCGUUACUACAGGAAGCUAAUGACGGUCUGAUGAUGUUUUUAGACCGUUACUGAACGCUGCACUGCCUGCUCGUCGGCACCGGGGAAGACGAAGAUGGCCGUCGGACCCGUACCACAAACCAUACAAGCGUAUCGGAUCUUAUUCGAUUACUAUGGGGUUCGUGAUCCAACUUCAAAUACCUCUAAUGAUCGAAUAGACCACAGUCCACAUAGACCGACGGCCCAGGCCUACCUCAUGUCCUUGGUUUAGACUUAGACUCUGCACAUGGUUGAGACCGCAGUGGCGCAUCUGCUGAUCUGCCGGCGCUGCCCUUGGCGAGUACAAGGGCGGCCAGGAGGAGGACGUCAGGAAGGCCAAGACGCCAAGUAGGGCAGUAGGAGAGCAAAGAUGGCGGACUCCGGAGAUCGGUAAUAAAGGUGGUAGAUUUUGUCUCCACUUCUCUACUCCACUUGGUGAUGUAUCUGCUACUGAUUUACGGAGGAAUAGCUCAAACGAACUGAUGACUGGCGGCCAAACACUUUGUAGGACGUCUUCUUAGCGAGAGACGUUACGAACAGAGGCGCCUCUCGGGAACGCAUUCACGGAUACCUGGGGGGCAAAGUGCAAAAAUCAGAGUAAGUACUCUGUUUACAUGCAGUCCGGCCAUUAGCUUAGCUAGGACACUUAGUUAUCGGGUGGGACCCACAUUGGCCUUAAGAGCGCGAUCCCGCAGCUCGUUGCCCUAGCCCCCACGCAGCUUGCUCGUGCCGCCGCCACCGCCGCACCGCGCCGAUAGCCUCACCGCACCACGCACCCCUGCCGGCCCCCGAAGUGCCGCCGGCACCCGCGCCGCGACCGCCAACCGCGCCGGCAUCCUCACAGGCUGACCCCUGCCUUCCCUUGCACGCAUCGGCACCCGCGUCCAUUGCUCCCCUGCCUCCACCAGCGCCGUGUUCGAACCCGCAACCCCCUGCAGUCCUCUCCUCACGCCGCCGCUGGAACGCGUCGAGAGCUUCGCGUAGGUUCUAGUCCACCCGGGAACCUCAUCCGCACCCCUGCUGCCACCAGCGCCGGCGGACCAAUCCGAAAUCGACGGGAUGCCGCGUAGUGCUGCACCAGCACCUGAGGUAAUAGAGCCCAUAGAUUCGUAUGCCCCCCCUCCCUUCCGACCCCUGGAAUAUUUACUAUGAUAAAAUUUCCCCUCGAAUCGUCCGAGUUGAGCCCGAUUUGAAGACGAAUCCUCCGAUUUGAUCCCGAAUUGAGGUCGAUUUGGCCACCGUGGACCGGGAUGGGGCGCGGUGGGUUCACAGACGACGGAGGAGCUUCCAUGAUGGACUGGCUCAUCGAUUCGGUGGAGAGUAGCAUCGAUUCUGUGGAGAAGCGCAACCAGGGUUAUUUUGACCCAGAUUACUUGUUGGAGCAUGAGCAUGAUGACGACGAGCAGAAUCUGGGCGAGAGCAGUGAUGCGAUGAACAAGAUUUUGGCUAGUUAUGAAGCACAGGUGAAAGAAGAGAAGAUGAAGAACCAAAAAUUACUAGAUGACAUGUUAAAGCUUGAGAUUGAGCUUGCUUUCCAGGACCAAGUGAUAGAAGAGUUGGAAAGCAAGAUUGCUGAAAAUCAGAAGCAGAAUGAAGAGCUGAAAAGAGAACCGGAAGAAAGGAAGAUUGUGAAUGUAGAGGUUGGACAAGUUAGGGAUUUUGCAGUGGCAUCUUGGAGUGUGGGCAUCACCUUAGUUUUUGUUUUAGCUUGAUUGUGGCUUGGUCUUAGUUAUGUCAAUUGUUUAAGUGUGCUUUGGUUUGUUGUACUCAGUGGCAUCAUGGGGUGUGGGCAUCGCUUUUAGCUGUCGUUUUAGCUAGUUCUGUGAGUGGGCCUAAGUUCUGUCAGUUGUUGUAUAAUUGCUUUGGUUUGUUGUGCUUGGAAGCUGCCGGCAUGUGUGAGACAUUUUAAAUAAUGAGACUGGGAGUAUUGUAACAA